rnacentral:rRNA from 1 species
AUUGAACGCUGGCGGCAGGCCUAACACAUGCAAGUCGAACGGCAGCACAGAAGAGCUUGCUCUUUGGGUGGCGAGUGGCGGGCGGGUGAGUAAUGUCUGGGAAACUGCCCGAUGGAGGGGGAUAACUACUGGAAACGGUAGCUAAUACCGCAUAACGUCGCGAGACCAAAGUGGGGGACCUUCGGGCCUCACACCAUCGGAUGUGCCCAGAUGGGAUUAGCUAGUAGGUGGGGUAAUGGCUCACCUAGGCGACGAUCCCUAGCUGGUCUGAGAGGAUGACCAGCCACACUGGAACUGAGACACGGUCCAGACUCCUACGGGAGGCAGCAGUGGGGAAUAUUGCACAAUGGGCGCAAGCCUGAUGCAGCUAUGCCGCGUGUAUGAAGAAGGCCUUCGGGUUGUAAAGUACUUUCAGCGGGGAGGAAGGCGGUGAGGUUAAUAACCUCGCCGAUUGACGUUACCCGCAGAAGAAGCACCGGCUAACUCCGUGCCAGCCGCCGCGGUAA